rnacentral:rRNA from 1 species
AGGGUAUGAUACUGGCUCAGAACGAACGCUGGCGGCGUGGAUCAGGCAUGCAAGUCGAGCGAGAAACCCGGUUUCGAUCGGGGAGUAAAGCGGCGAAAGGGUGAGUAAUGCGCAGGUAACCUGCCUGUCAGAGGGGGAUAACGCCCCGAAAGGGGUGCUAAUACCGCAUACGAUCUUGCUUCGCAUGGGGCAAGAUGAAAGGUUGGGGCCCGCAAGGGUAGCCACUGACAGAGGGGUCUGCGUCCUAUUAGCUUGUUGGUGGGGUAACGGCCCACCAAGGCUCAGAUGGGUACGGGGCCUGAGAGGGUGUUCCCGCACACUGGGACUGAGACACUGCCCAGACUUCUACGGAAGGCUGCAGUCGAGAAUCAUUCGCAAUGGACGAAAGUCUGACGAUGCGACGCCGCGUGGAGGAAGAAGGCCCUCGGGUCGUAAACUCCUGUCAGGAGUGAGGAACUGUGGCGGCUACCCAAGGCCGCUGCUUGACGUAAGCUCCAGAGGAAGCCACGGCUAACUUCGUGCCAGCAGCCGCGGUAAUACGAAGGUGGCGAGCGUUGUUUGGAAUCACUGGGCAUAAAGGGCGUCUAGGCGGCGGGGUGUGUUGGGUGUGAAAUCCCCCGGCUCAAUCGGGGAAUUGCAUCCAAAACUGCCUUGCUAGAGUCCGGAAGGGGAGAGCGGAAUUCCUGGUGGGGCGGUGAAAUGCGUAGAGAUCAGGAGGAACACCGGUGGCGAAGGCGGCUCUCUAGUCUAGGACUGACGCUGAAGCGCGAAAGCCAGGGGAGCAAACGGGAUUAGAUACCCCGGUAGUCCUGGCCGUAAACGAUGGGCACUACGUAGAGGAGGUCCGAUGCCUCUUCUGCCGGAGCUAAUGUAUUAAGUGCCCCGCCUGGGGAGUAUGGUCGCAAGGCUGAAACUCAAAGUAAUUGACGGGGGCUCACACAAGCGGUGGAGCAUGUUGCUUAAUUCGAUGAUACGCGAGGAACCUUACCCAGGCUUGACAUGCACGGAUUAGCUUCGUGAAAGCGGAGUGACGCCCUUCGGGUGGAACGUGCACAGGUGCUGCAUGGUUGUCGUCAGCUUGUGUCGUGAGAUGUCGGGUUAAGUCCCUUAACGAGCGAAACCCUUGUCCUUUGUUGCCAGCGGUUCGGCCGGGGACUCUAAGGAGACUGCCGGUGUUAAACCGGAGGAAGGUGGGGAUGACGUCAAAUCAUCAUGGCCCUUACGCCUGGGGCUGCAAACGUGCUACAAUGGCGGGCACAAAGGGACGCGAGGCCGCAAGGCGGAGCAAAUCCCUAAAAGCCCGCCCCAGUUCAGAUUGAGGGCUGCAACUCGCCCUCAUGAAUGUCGGAAUCGCUAGUAAUCGGGGAUCAGCCAUGCCCCGGUGAAUGUGUUCCUGAGCCUUGUACACACCGCCCGUCAAGCCACCCGAGUUGGGUACACCCGAAGUCGCUGCUCGAACCCGCAAGGGGCGAAGGCGCCGAAGGUGAACUUGGCAAGGGGGACUAA